UUAACUGAAACGACACCAAAAUCAUCGACUUUUGUACCUGCUUUUCCAGGAUCGUACCACUUACAUUCAAACAGACAAUAUUUAUUCGUGUGACCGUAGCAAAUUUUGAAAACAUUUUUAGUAAUCCAUGAUAUUCAAUUUCUGCUACCAACGGAGCAUCAUUUGGAGAUUUAGCGUACGUUGAUGUUGUAGCCGAAAGAAAAAUACUGUUAUUUUGCGUCGAUCUACGAUUUGUCAAUUCUGAUCUACGAUUUCGUCGACUUGAUCUUCAUCGACGGAUCUUCAUCACAGGAUCGUAUUCGAGAGGUUUUGUUUCGAGAAAUUUUUCGUCGACUGUAUUCUCAUCUACAUGUUCUCUGUAAACCCCACGAACCAAUCCAAUCAUAUCAUUACCAGUUUUCGGCACUUUUUUCUACCAUAUCUACUCGGUAACUCUACGUGACGCGUCCAAACAUCGUAAUGUUUCAACCAACCAUUUAUGAAAAUAUGCUUCCUCAUCUCCUUCAUCGAGAAGAUAACCUUCUGGGUGAGUCGAAUUUGAAAGGGCGAAAUUAGUGAAAGCUGUUAAGCCUUCACCGUAUUCUUUCGAAAAGCGAUCUAAACUCAUUCAAGCUUUAUCGGGUACUUUCAUAAAGUUCGACAUUAUCCUAAAAAUUUAAAUUUUUAUCAAAUUAUAAUUAAUUAGAUAAAACUUAAUUGACUAUUACAAUAUUAAUUAUAGUUCAAUUAAUAUUAAGUUCAAUUUUUUUUGGAAAAUCUAGCUAAUUAAAGGUCUAAUUAACUAUUCUGAAUCCGUUUCAUAAACGACUUUUUUCGGAGUUGCUGGUUGCGGAACUGGAGGAGCCGGUCCCGGACGAACAGGUGCCGGCGGUGCGGGAGGGGCCGGUGCUGGAUGAACAGGUGUCGGCGGUGCGAGAGGGGCCGGUGCUUGAUGUACUGGUGUCGGUGCUGGAUUAACCGGGAGAUAAAACCGGAAAGCAUCUUGGGGAUUGGGUGAUAGAGCCCUCUUACGAGGUAAUUGCUUCACCCUACGUG
rnacentral:lncRNA from 1 species